CCUUACGGGGUGCAGCAGGCGCGAAACCUCUGCAUAGGCGAAAGCUUGACAGGGUUACUCUGAGUGAUUUCCGUUAAGGAGAUCUUUUGGCACCUCUAAAAAUGGUGCACAAUAAGGGGUGGGCAAGUCUGGUGUCAACCGCCGCGGUAAUACCACCACCCCGAGUGGUCGGGACGAUUAUUGGGCCUAAAGCAUCCGUAGCCGGUACUGCAAGUCUUCCGUUAAAUCCACCUGCUUAACAGUUGGGCUGCGGGGGAUACUACAGCGCUGGGAGGCGGGAGAGGCAAGCGGUACUCGAUGGGUAGGGGUAAAAUCCGUUGAUCCAUUGAAGACCACCAGUGGCAAAUGCGGCUUGCCAUAACGCGCUCUACGGUGAGGGAUGAAAGCUGGGGGAGCAAACCGGAUUAGAUACCCGGGUAGUCCCAGCUGUAAACGAUGCACACUCGGUGAUGGGCCGGCUUUAUGCCAGCUCAGUGCCGCAUGGAAGCCGUUAAGUCUGCCGCCCGGUGAGUACCGUCCCAAGACUGAAACUUAAACGAAUUGGCUGGGGAGCAC
rnacentral:rRNA from 1 species